UACGGGGGGGGCAAGCGUUGUUCGGAAUUACUGGGCGUAAAGGGCCAGUAGGCGGCCAACUAAGUCGGACGUGAAAUCCCCAGGCUCAACCUGGGAACUGCGUCCGAUACUGGAUGGCUUGAAUUCGGGAGAGGGAUGCAGAAUUCCAGGUGUAGCGGUGAAAUGCGUAGAUAUCUGGAGGAACACCGGUGGCGAAGGCGGCAUCCUGGACCGGUAUUGACGCUGAUGCGCGAAAGCCAGGGGAGCAAACGGG
rnacentral:rRNA from 1 species